GAUGAAGACGCAGCGAAAUGCGAUAAGUAGUGUGAAUUGCAGAAUUCAGUGAAUCAUCGAAUCUUUGAACGCACAUUGCGGCCAUAGGUAUUCCUUUGGCCAUGCCUGUUCGAGCGUCAUUUACACCCUCAAGCCUAGCUUGGUGUUGGGCGUCUGUCCCGCCGUUCUCGCGCGCGGACUCGCCUCAAAGUCAUUGGCGGCGGUCGUGCCGGCCCCCUCGCGCAGCACAUUUGCGCUUCUCGGAGGCCCGGCGGAUCCGCGCUCCAGCAAGACCUUUCACGACUUGACCUCGGAUCAGGUAGGGAUACCCGCUGAACUUAAGCAUAUCAAUAAGCGGAGGA
rnacentral:misc_RNA from 1 species